GUCGGGGGAAAGAGUAGAGAGAGAGUAAUAGCGGGAAAGAGGACGUAGACGAGGAAGAGAGAGAGAGACACCCGCAAUUUCGUGAUUGCUUUUCAGACGACACUUUGUACACCCAUGGACAGCACCAACCAACUCAUUACGGUAAUGACACGUGUGCAUCAAUUCGCAUUAAUAUUCUAAUGGACGUCAGGGAGAGGGAGAGAAUGACUAAGAGAGAAAGAGAGAUAGAAGAGGGGGGAGGGUGCAGACGAGGGUAGCUUGCUCAACAUGGUAAUGGUAGAAUCGGUAUUGGUAUUAGUGUUGGUAGUAGGAGUGCUGCUGGGUCGAAGUGUGGAAGGCUAGAAAGGAGUUGGCAUCGGAGACGAAGGGAGACGCCAUGCUAUCUUGCACAUAAUGCCAAUUAAUUAAUGGAUACUACUGUGGUUCGGCUGGAUUAUGUAACCGGUGCCCAGGACGACUGCUAUCGAUCGACGUCUCGGUGCUGCUAGACGGUGUCAAACGAGUUUUCCCACAUAGCAGUGGAUGGAAAUAUCUGGUCAUAUCCAAGCCAGACAGACAACUCGGACCUAACACUGAUCAGUCGACGGCCUCGUACCAGACUCGUCAAGAUCCAUUUGCGGACUGGGAUGUACAGCUGCAUUACCGUGUCGUGGUGCCAAAUACUAAUGAGAAACACUUUUCCGCUCACCCACAACCCGUUCCGAUUCAGUGGCUUAAGCAACGCUUUUUACUACCACGCUUCGAGUCACUAAUGGUUCAUCAGGGUGAUACGUUAAUGGAUGCC